GCGGGGGAGGGGAGGCGGGCUGCAGGCCCCGGGCGUGGAGUUUACCUGCACCGUGGGAACCUCCCUUCCCCCGGGCGCGCAGCCCUGGCUCCGCCCUGCGGGGCCCCGCCCCAGGGAAGCCGGGGCCGCUGUCGGGCCGCCGCAGGGGAAGCUCGCCUGCGCAGGUGUCGCAGGGUCACACCCGCCCCGGGGGUUGCAAACCGCAAGCGAAAGUCGAGAGGGGCUGGAGCUUUUCCUCUAAUCCGUUUUACACUGUGAAAACCGCAAAGCUGUCGCCUAGGCGGCCACUUUUUAAUUGGGAGGCAAACAGACGAAACGCCAAAACAAAUGCGCAAGCUGACUUUCUUUCCGGAUGGUUUUCCUUCUCAACGAAACGCCCGCUCUCUGGUGAAAGGGAGGCCGAUCUGCGCUCACGUUUGCUCGCUUCGGGGCCUGGCCUGGGGCGCACGGGAGCCCGCGCCCCCAGCGCGUGGGGCAGAUCGGACUGCACCCCUCUCCCGGCGCUUUUCCCCCAGCCUCGGUCGUCCCCCGCGUCCCUCCUCGCCAUCCGCUCCAUGCACGCCCCAUCCCGCAAGCUCCACGCAAGCUUUCUCGCUCGCGCUGCAGAGCAGAUGUGGGUGCUUGGGUGUUGGGGGCUCCGAGCGCGUUGAAUUGGCUCCGAUUCAGAUUCCUCCCAGGGCGGGAAGAGUAGGGGUUUGGGCCGCCAAUCCCGGGGCUCGGAGACCUCCAAGCUGACCAGAAGAAGCACUUGCAGUCGCGCUUCAAGUCUCGCAGUUUUCCCUGGGGAAAAGCAGAAGUUGGUGGACACACUGCACGGCGCCAGAGCAAACUCUGAACUUACCGCGCGCCCUGCUGGGGUGCUCAGCCCCUCGGGGGAACCCCAGAGAAGCGAGGAGAGCAGGGAGGUGGGGAGGCCGCCCAGGUCAGGCGGGCCGAGUCCCAGGAUUGUGGGUGUCCCCCUCCCACGUUGAUCUGUUAAGGGUCCUACGUGGAAAAUCAUUUUUAAUCAAACUGUGAUGGUGGAGGUACAAAGAGGGAAGGAAGACAAAAGAAAGGAGACCUUAUUUAAGAAGGAAAACUAGGAAAAAUGGAGUGGUCAAACUGUGGAGAGGGAGGGAAGGAAAGAAGAAUGGAGAAGGCUUUCCUUCUUUGUUCUAUAAAAGCCCUAGCACUUUCUUUGAAAAUCAAAGUACGGAGAGGCUGUCCUUCUUGGAGCAUGGUUAUGUAAGUGAGAGACACUGCGCGUUAGUUCACCUUUAAAGCAUUUGCUGGGUGGAGUAAAGUUUUUAGAAGGUUCUUUCUCGCCCGGCCCCUGUUUGAAGCUCAACUCAUUUUGAUUUAAAGCAGAUUUGAGAUAAAAAUUUCAGAAGAGAAACUGUGUGUAUACAUAUAUGCAGAUGCAGCAGAGUUUGUAUUCCCUUUAGUUUAUUUCUAAGAGGUUCUAUAGUAAAUUGUAUAUGAUGGCUGGUAUAUUUUUUUCUAAUAUUGUAUUGUCACCCGAGAGAAGAGUCCAGAGUUAUCUUUCUCUCCGCUUCCCUUUAAUAAAUCUCCUAAGAGAGAGAACUCUCAUAUGAUCGUGGCUCUUUUCCUCUCUUUCUGGUUUGCUAUCUUUCCCACACAUGAACACACAAACACACAAUAUACAUCACGCGCAGACUUUGCCCUGAUCAGCCUGUAAAGUAUGAUAUAUAAAUUCAUGCCCCUGUUUUCAGUUUCCCCUGAAGUUUAGAACACUGUCGAGGGUCUCCUUUUGUUCCUCCCCAUGUGUGUGCUUCAUCAGGGAUGUCUGGUAAACCAACACAACAGUCAUCUUUGCUUUGAGUUUGUUUGUGAUUAAAUGGAAAAUAACAUUAAUAAACGGUUUAAAUGGUAUUUUUUUAUAGCAAAGUAUUAACAAGUAAUAAAAUGAACAGUAGUUGUUCCAAAUCUUCAGACUGAUGGCUUCCCAUUGGCAGUCAUAUUUUGGCAAAAGUAUUUCAUAUUAAUUGAAAAUGACUAAAACAGUGCAUGCAUUCCGUUAAGAGAGGCUAACUCACUGAGCUUUACCUCCAGCAGCUUAAACUAUCCAGUUCAAAUUACUUAAGUAAUUCCUACUGAAGGAGGGGUUGGGAAAUCAGGAACUGUGGAAUAAUUUGUGCUUUUGGUCUUUUCAUGAAGCUUUAAUUAAAUCUGAUUUCUGUGAAAACUAAAACUAAAACAAUACGAUAACCCCUUAAGUGGCCUUGUAGAAUAAUAUGCGAUUCUUAUAAAAAAAUGUGUGCCCACUAUAUUUGGUGAAACUAGAUGAAUACAAAUAUAACUAUUAAGUUGUUUUUCCAGUGAUUUUUCUCUCUCAAAUGUUAGACAUGUAGGACUCCAGAACAUGCACUUUAAUGUGUUCUGAUAAUAAGAAAACCGUUGCUGGUUUUCUCAGAGGAGCACAGCUAUCUAGGGGCCAUGCCACAAUCAUUAGAUCAACACCGUCUUUCCUGUCACAUCAUCGUCUACAUGAAAUUCCAUUUUAGGAAAUAUGCAAGAAUAUUACAUUUGUUUCAGAAGCUUGAAAAUACAAUAGAAUUUGAAGUAUUGAAAAAUGUGAUUCUUAGUUGACGGUAUCUUAGAAGUUGCAGGGGUAUCUCUUUUUGAGAUGACUUUAAUAAUGACACUUUAAUAAUGUUGCAAAGUAAGGAAAGAUUUCAAUAGCAGGCAAGAUGUGAUGAAUGGACACAAGGAACAAUGAAGCUAUUGACAAAACAUGCCAACUUUUAGAAUUCUAUCUAAAUUAUUAUUUUUCCUUACAGUGCAGAGAAAGACACCCAAGUACAUCAAUGUUCAUCAGAUGCAGGGUGAUAGAAAUGUGAGCGACAAUUAAUGGACUGUGCUUGUAGUAUGAUUGUUAGUGUAGGUGUGAGAGUACAUGGAGACAUUUUUUCCUGCUUAAAAAACGUCUGUGGUCUUCGGCUGAAAUAGGGGAAGUUUAUAGAAAAUUGAGGCCAAGGAAGAGAAGAGGGAAAGAAGGCUGAAAAGAGAAUAAAGCAAAUUCAGUAAUUAAAAAACGAUUUGUUUUCUAUUUUAGAUUUGACUUUCGUCAAUUGUUCCUGCCAGCUAUUUCGAUGAAAUAAAUGGAAUGUCGCUUAACAGGCAGAUGCUUUGAUACAUUUUCUUCUUAAAGGAUCUGAUUCCUGGCGUCCAAAGGAAACUGGAAUUUAAAUUUAUAGAGCCCUGGGGGAAACCCUUGGAAGAAGUGAUAUAUCAGACAGAUAUAUCCAGAAGCUUAAAAGAAAAUAACAGAAUGCGGAAUCUCAACAGUUGUUUUAAUGGCGGCUAGUUCGUCCCGUUCCAGAAGGCACAAUCCUUCGCCAUGGGACUUUGCUGCUCCCAUCCAGACGUGGAAUCUCUUCUCCACCCCCUGUAAUGCGGGCUGGCCUUUGUGACUGACUUUGACAAAUUUGAUAUAGUGGAACUGAUGUUUUCUAGUUCUGGAAUUGAGGCCUCAAGAAGCUUUGUGGCUGCCACCUUUGUCCUCUUGGAACGCCAUGCCACGCAGAAGCCCGGGAUGAAAGGUCAGGAGGAAGACGGAGGGACGCAGCUGUCUCUGCUGUUCGCUGAGUCCAGCUCCCCGCACCCCACUGAAUGCUGUCACACACAUGAGCCCAGGCAAAGUUGGCACAAAAAGCACACAGCCAACAGAGUCAUGAAAAAUAAAAAAAAAUCCUUGCUGUUUUAAGCCAGUAAGCUUUGAGGUGGUUUGUUAUAUAGCAAUAGUAACCAUACUUGUCUUGUUAUCUGCAAUUAUUUCAAUUGUAUAAAAUUGAGAGAGAAUUUGUUGAUAUGUCAGGUGUCUAAAUUGUGAUCAAAUCAAAGAGCUCUCAGUUUUUUGGUUUUUUUUUUUUUUUUUUUGAGUAAGAUUAGCCCUGAGCUAACAUCUGCUGCCAAUCCUCCCCUUUUUGCCGAGGAAGACUGGCCCUGAGCUAAAAUCUGUGCCCAUCUUCCUCUACUUUAUAUGUGGGAUGCCUACCACAGCAUGGCUUGCCAAGUGGUGCCGUGUGUGCACCUGGGAUCCGAACCGGCGAACCCCAGACCGCCAAAGCAAAUGUCGGAACUUAACCGCUGCGCCACUGGACCGCCCCGAGCUCUCACUAUUUUAAGAGCCUGAGUUAGCAUAUGUGAAGCCACCACGGGGGCCCAAGGUUACUAUGUGUGAUUGUUAUCAUGAUGUUGAUCCCUGAGGUUGGUGAGAUUUAAGAAAGUCACAUUAUUUUAUAUCAUCCCUACGGCAAUGCAGUGAAGCAGGCAGGGUGGUUAUUAUGUUCAUUUUGAAGAUGGAGAAACAGGUUCAGGACAGCCACAGAAGUGUUGAGACCAACAGGCUUGAGAAUGCAUAUCCCUGAGGAGAUGUCAAUGAACCUCAUUUUUCUCACUUGGAAGAUGAAGGGAUUGUAUCAGAGGAUUCCUGAAGUCCCGUUAGCCACGCCAGACGUCUCAGC
ensembl:lncRNA